GUAGUGAAACUGAAUCACGCGGUAGAGCGCAUCGCUGGCAGCGAUGAGGUCAGGGGUUCGAUCCCCCUUGGCUCCACCA
rnacentral:tRNA from 1 species